GGGAAUGUGGCUCAUAAUCGAGCUAAAAAGGCCAAGUAACAAACGCUCCCCGUGGUGGACACGAGACUAUCCUUAAUUCACGGCCAAGAAAAAAUAAGGGCAAUUGUCAAUAAUAGCAUCUUUUGAAGUUUAUGUCUCAAAAAUAGCACUAGAAGGAGAAAGUCACAAAAAUGACAUUCAUUAAAGGGUAAAAUUUCCCUAAUACCCUUGGUUUAAAAUUAAAUAAACAAACAAAAAAAAAUAAAAUAAAAAUAAAAAAAUGAAAAAAAAAUAAAUUUUUUUAUAGUUUCAGAUUAUGUGUUUUCAGAUUCGAAAUUUUUAUAUUUUUUUUUUUGAAUUUUUUUUUCGAAAUUUUUUUUUUAUUUUUUUUUCAAAUUUUUUUUUAUAAUUUAAAAAUACUUUUUGAAACUGUUUUAAAAUUUUUAUUUUU
rnacentral:lncRNA from 1 species